ensembl:lncRNA
CGGAGAAGACGGAAGGAACAGAGAUGUCAUUAUUUACGCCAGAUUAUAGACCCACACACACACACAGAGACACAAGUUGAUUAAGGGCGCUACCCGGAGACGGGCUCCAAGGACCCAACGGGAGGGCCGGGCACGCGCCCCCCACCGGAACAACGACGGGUGGCAUCACGUCAAACCUCGACGGAAAAGGAAAAGAAAAGGUUCGACUCACAGCGUCGUUCAGGUGUACAAAGGACCGACGGAAGGAAGAAACACUUGAGCGGGAUGAAAGAAACAGAGGAAAACGGGGCCAUUUGGGAUGAAAAAAGUAUUUGAAUAAUAAAAGAAACAACUCAAAACUACGAACUGUAAAGGAAGCAAGUUGGUGGCUGUGAAGCGUGAAAUGCUCCUUGCUGUUUUUGCUCCCUUAGAUGGUAAACGGGCUGUGCUGUUCAUUAUUUGGUCUUUUCCCGGCUAUUGAAUUUUUCAGAAUGUACUCAAAUUUUAUAUUCCAAUGUAUUCCAACAUAUUCUGCCACAAAUCCAUCCUCGGGGCAUAAUAAAACUCCAACAAGGCCCCUUGUCUCGGUUGUCCAGCCCUCUCUUGCUUUGGCUUCAAGUAAACUGAUUUUUAAAUUCUCAAAAUAUUCUCCGCCCACAGUUGGUGUCUGCAGCAUGAAUUUCACCUCCCGGGAUUUAAUGCUCAUUGAUAGCGACACAUACUUCCUAAAAUGCUUCAUGUGUACCGACUCCUAUUUUUCUCAAGCACUCGUUACUGAAGAUCCGUCUGGGAGAGUUUAGUUCUUCAGUGGCCACCAGGAGACCAGUGUCCUGUCCUGUGUUGACCUAAAAGUGACCUUUUAUUACCAAAAAACAGGAUUGUUUAAUGAAACUGGUCAUGUUUUAUUAGGUUAUGGAUAUAUGUUUGUGUCAGUCUAUCUCUAAAAUAUCUGUCUCAAUCUGUGCCUCUCUAUAUAUUUGCGUUUCUAUAUAUUCAUCCUCUGUUUAUCUAUCUCUAUCUAUCUCUAUUCUUGGUGCAAAUGACUGUAGAGCCAAGAAUAUUCUAUUAAAAUCGCUGUCAAUCAACGUGAAGAUGGCAGAGAUAUAAAACUAAACUCCACAAUCAAACUUUGAGUUGCAUUACAUUGUUGCGUGCAGGUCACGGUCCGGUGAUGUCACCCGCAAUAAAACCGCUGUGCAACCUCGAGGAGUCGUGACCUUCUGCCGCCGACGCUUGGAGGUCACACGACUUCAACACCAUCGCGUGUACAAAAGAUAAGACACAAAGAGGAGCGGCUACAGUGUAUAAUGUGUUUGGCGCCUUUAUGAUGCUUUUUUACCAUUUCAAAAGAGACGUCUUCGUCUUCGUGAGCGGGAGGCGUGACCUGCAGUAAGAUCCACCACACCACCGUUCCUUUCACCCGAUGUGUUUCCACAGACUCAUGGAGAAAUGUUGGACUUUGCAAGUGUGGUGUUUUAAACUGAUGUUCCAAAGUCAUUUCAAUGUACGUGAAUGACAAUGACCAAUAAUUGUAAACCAACCUGAAGAAGUUUGAACUAUUUAUUUAUUAGCCGAGUGCUAAUUGGACAGUGGUUGUAUUUGCACUUUUACAUUCAAAGCACCGGUUUUCAUGUGUGUGU